UGGCGGCCCUCAGGGAGGGAUAAGAGAGGCCAGGGCAGCCCAGCCUCAGCUCAUGGCCUAAGCAGGACUGUGAGCACCAUGGCUCGGAUCCCCGCCCUCCUCGUGCUCCUCUCCCUCUGUGCAGGGUCCCUCACCCAGCCUGUGCUGACUCAGCCGCCCUCCCUCUCUGGGUCUCUGGGAGCAUCAGCCAGACUCACCUGCACCCUGAGCAGUGGGAACAGUGUUGGCAGCUAUGCUAUAAGCUGGUACCAGCAGAAGGCAGGGAGCCCUCCCCGGUACCUCCUGGACUACUACUCAGACUCCAGCAAGCACCAGGGCUCCGGAGUCCCGAGCCGCUUCUCUGGGUCCAAAGAUGCCUCGGCCAAUGCAGGGCUUCUGCUCAUCUCUGGGCUGCAGCCCGAGGACGAGGCUGACUAUUACUGUGCUGCAGGGGACAGCAGCAGUAAUCCUCACACAGUGCCCCAGACCCACAGGGAAGUGAGACUAAAACCUCCCCUGUGCUCCCCGCUGGGCCAUUCCUGCGCUGUGCCUGGGACCAGGUCGCACUCAGGGUGA